CGUCUGCCAAAGGCUUUGAGCUUCCUGGUGUUCAUCGUACCUCCGCUUGGUGCUGUCGUGACUAAACCACGACAGCAGGAAAAAAAAAAAAAAAAAAGCAGCUAGCCAAGUUGCUGAGGAAUUACGGUGUGCAGAGCCCUCGCAGCUCCUUCUCUUGGGAACUCCUGGUCUGGUUAGGUUCUCAGCCAGGAAACAGCCUCCCACCCCGCCCGAUUCCACCUAAUCAACUCAAGGGCCAGCUCCUUUUGCUGGCCUCCCUGCUUCCACGGAGCAGUUAGGCCCGCCUAAACUCAGCGAGCGUUUCUGGAGCACCUUGAGGAUAGGGACCAAGUAACAGAGUCCGGGUGUUAAGGUUAUGAUAGUAGUUAACGUUUUCGGAAAGAGACUGUGUCAGGCUCUGUGCUAAGAACUUUACAUGAAGUAUUUAUUCCUCAUGACUGUGAGUCCAUUGCAUUAUUUGCUGUCUGAAAUGCCACCCUUCGAGGGCUUUGAGGAGAUUUGAAAAACAUGGUAGUAUAUACCAGCCCAAGGAAGAUAAAAGUAAGACCCGAGAAAAUACUUUUCAACAAGACCAAAAUUUAGGCCAUGGAGGGGGACUUUCAAUCUGGAAUGAUCGAGCUUUAAGGAAGACAAGUACAUGAGCUCCUCUAGGACAGUGAAAAAGCAUCCUAACAUGCUCAAGACAGGAUAGGAAAUGGUCCUCUGGCUUGAAAGACUCAGCAUCCAGAAGUAGUACCUCACUCUCCAUCCAGUGGUCACCCCCCAGAAAUGUGCUCUCCCUGUCUCACCAGGCCCUACCCACCUGCCUGGGAGCUGCCUGCCUCUUGAUGUGCUGACACCUGCUCCUGCUGCUGCUGCUGCUGCUGUU